CACACACACACACACACACACACACACAAUACAUUGAUAUUAAUUGCUAUGAUCCAGUGUAUUAUCCAUGUUUCCAUUUAUAAUUUUGUUGGACUUUUCGGUUUGAUUUGCUUUUUUUUUUUUAAACCUCACUGGUCCAAAAGUUACCCAAAUGAAAGCAGCAUCAAAAAUAAAACACACACACACACAAGAUGUCACUUUGUUAACAAGAAGAAAGACAUUCAGUAGAUUGUUUUAUUUUCUGAAAAGUGCUAUGAGGUUACUCUUUACCAGGUAGCUGCUGUCAUUUAUUUGGGUUUGACUUCAUGUGUUUAUGUUUACUCUGCCAUGUGCCAUUGUUUUGGUUUCAGUCCUGUCUCCGCCCCUGCCUUGUCAUUGGCUGAUUACUCUAAUGUGUUCAGCUGUUCUGUGUUUCACUUUGAUGAGUUUGUCCUGUUCCUUUGUCUCGUUGCAAAAUCUCAUCAAUAGUUAUUGUGUGUCUCCAAGCCUCCAGGGUGACUCCAGAUGAUCGACAUUUGGCGCUCACUACGAAGGAAGUGAAGGUGAGCCAGCAUAAACCCACUCCUCCUUCAGAUGCUGAUUGAUAGCACCAGCAUGAACCUCUUUAAUCUGUGUCAGCUGGCUGAACUGAGGCUCGUCUCUGGGUCGGCGAUCUCUCCCCGACCGGAUGCUGCGUCUGGAAUUACACCGUGAAGACGGCGGCGAAGGCAUUCAGCUUCAAGCCAUCGAUCACGUUGCUGGAGUGAAAGAGCUCCAAGCACAUUAGACUGAAGCCAACCACCAGCAGCAUGAUGUAUAACACCUC